rnacentral:rRNA from 1 species
GAUGAACGCUGGCGGCGUGCUUAAUACAUGCAAGUCGAACGCUGAAGCCCAGCUUGCUUGGUGGGUUAGAGUCGAACGGGUGAGUAAAACGCGAGUAAACUGCCCUUAACACUGGGGUAAGACUGGGGAACUGGGUCUAAUAUCCGAUAGAAGCGUCCACCGUACGGUGGGUGUUGGAAAGAUUUAUAGUUUUUGGAUGGACUCGCGGCCUAUCAGCUUGUUGGUGAGGUGAUGGGGUAACAAGGCGACGAGGGGUAGACGGCCUGCGAGGGUGACCGGCCACACUGGGCCUGAGGAAGGGGCCAGAGUCCUACGGGAGGAAGCAGUGGGAGAUAUUGCGAGAUGGGCGGAAGCAGGAAGCAGCGACGCCGCGUGGGAGAUGACGGCCUUCAGGGUGUAAACCGCGUGCAGUAGGGAAGAAGCGAAAGUGACGGUACCUGAAGAAGAAGCACCGGCUAACUACGUG